rnacentral:rRNA from 1 species
GUGUGAUCGAUCAAGGGCGCACGGUGAAUGACUUGGCAUCGAGAGGCGAUGAAGGACGCGAGAACCUGCGAUAAGCCCAGGGGAGCCGGUAACUAGGCCCUGAUCCUGGGAUUUCCGAAUGGGGCAACCCACCCGCAAGGGUACCUGACGCUGAAUGCAUAGGCGUCAGGAGCGAACGUGGAGAAGUGAAACAUCUCAGUAUCCACAGGAAAGGAAAGCAACAGCGACUCCGCAAGUAGCGGCGAGCGAACGCGGAUAAGCCGGCGGAACCCCGAACGCCCUGGAAUGGGCGGCCAAAGAAGGUGAAAGCCCUGUAGAUGGAAGCCGGUGAGGCCUAGAGUAAACUCGGGCUCGGGAAACCCGGGUUGAACAUGGGGGGUCCACCCUCCAAGCCUAAGUACUCCUCGAUGACCGAUAGCGAACCAGUAAGGCGACUGAACGUUGACAAGCUCUCCGACGAGGGGAGUGAAAGAGUACCUGAAACCGUGCGCUUACAAGCGGUCGGAGCCCUUCGGGGUGACGGCGUGCUUUUUGCAUAAUGAGCCGGCGAGUUGGUCUGUACGGCGAGCCUAAGCCCUGACGGGGCGGAGGCGGAGCGAAAGCGAGUCCGAAAUGGGCGCCGAGUCGUACGGGCCAGACGCGAAACCUUGUGAUCUACCCAUGGUCAGACUGAAGGGCGGGUAAAACCGCUUGGAGGGUCGAAGCCGUGACCGUUGAAAAGGUCUGGCAUGAACUGUGGGGAGGUGGUCAAAGUCCAAUCAAACUGGGAGAUAGCUCGUUCUCUCCGAAAUAACUCUAGGGUUAGCCUCAGACGGCAGUCACUGGGGGUAGAGCUACUGGAUGAGGGGUGGGGUCGCAAGACUACCCUCCUCAACCAAACUCCGAAUACCAGUGAUCAAGGUCUGGGAGAUAGACGGCGAGUGACAAUAUCCGUCGUCAAAAGGAGAAAAAUCCAGAUCGCCAGCUAAGGCCCCAAAUCCGUGCUUAGUUCGAAAGGAAGUCAAGUUGCAAUGACAGCCAGGAUGUUGGCUUAGAAGCAGCCACCAUUUAAAGAGUGCGUAACAGCUCACUGGUCGAGGAACUUGGCGCCGAUAAUUAUCGGGAAUAAGCAUGGAGCCGAAGCUGCGGGCUCGAAAGAGCGGUAGGAGAGCGUUCCUGGGGCGGUGAAGCGGUUCCGAAAGGGGUCGUGGAGCGCCAGGAAGUGAAUAUGCCGGCUUGAGUAACGAUAAAACGGGUGAGAAUCCCGUUCGCCGUAAGCCCAAGGUUUCCUGGGGAAGGUAAUUCCGCCCAGGGUUAGUCGGGACCUAAGGCAAGGCCGAAAGGCGUAGUCGAUGGACAUCAGGUUAAUAUUCCUGAACCGUCAUCGCGAACGGAUUCCUGAGAUCAACGGGACUGUCAGAUGUCCAGGCCGCAAGGCCGAUGUUGGUGGAUGGAGUUCCUAGAAAAAACGAUGACAAGCCCGUACCAAAACUGACACAGGUGGGCGAGGCGAAUAGCCUCAGGCGCUCGAGAGAACGGUCGUGAAGGAACUAGGCAAGUUAACCCCGUAAGUUCGCAAGAAGGGGGCCCGCAAGGGCGCAGAGAAAAGGGUCUGGGAACUGUUUAUCAAAAACACAGCUCUGUGCUAAGACGCAAGUCGAUGUAUACAGAGUGACGCUUGCCCGAUGCCGGAAUGUCAAGGAAGGGGUUCAUCGAAAGAGAAGAUCCCGACCGAAGCACCGGCGAAUGGCGGCCGUAACUAUGACGGUCCUAAGGUAGCGAAGUUCCUUGUCGGGUAAGUUCCGACGCGCAUGAAUAGCGUAAUCACUGGACUCCUGUCUCCACGACCGACUCGGUGAAAUAGUAGUGGCGGUGAAGAUGCCGCCUACCCGCAGCAAGACGGAAAGACCCCGUGGACCUUCACUAUAGGCUCCUAUUGGCCACUAGCAUUCACUGCGUAGCAUAGGUGGGAGGCUUUGACGCCUGGAUUCCGGUCCGGGACGAGCCACAGGUGAAAUACCACCCUGUGUACGUUGGUGGCCUAACGUCGAUUCCCUUGAAUCAGGGCGACGGACAGUUGGUGUCGGGUAGUUUGACUGGGGCGGUCUCCUCCUAAAGAGUAACGGAGGAGUGCAAAGGUCGGCUCAGCACGGAUGGAAACCGUGUGUUGAGUGCAAGAGUAUAAGCCGGCUUUACUGCGAGACCGACAGGUCGAGCAGUCACGAAAGUGGGCUCUAGUGAUCCUGCGAUCCCGUGUGGAAGGGUCGUAGCUCAUCGGAUAAAAGGUACCCCGGGGAUAACAGGCUGAUCGCUCCCGAGCGUCCAUAGCGGCGGAGCGGUUUGGCACCUCGAUGUCGGCCCAUCACAUCCUGGGACUGAAGGCGGCCCCAAGGGUUCGGCUGUUCGCCGAUUAAAGUGGUACGCGAGCUGGGUUCAGACCGGCGUGAGCCAGGUCGGUCCCUAUCUGCUGUGGGCGUUGCAGGCUUGAUGGGAAUCAACUCUAGUACGAGAGGAUUGAGUUGGACGGACCUCUGGUGAUCCAGUUGCAUUGCUAAAUGCACCGCUGGGUAGCUACGUUCGGCAGGGAUAACCGCUGAAAGCAUCUAAGCGGGAAGCCCCCCCAGAGAUGAGGCCUGCUUGCGUAAGCGAGAGACCCCUGGUAGACCACCAGGUUGAUAGGCCGCAGGUGUAAGGACAGAAAUGUCCUGCUCAGCCGAGCGGUACUAACGGUCAAAUUCGAUCACACCA